rnacentral:rRNA from 1 species
GUGGUAAUGCCGGAUGCUCCAGUUGGAUGCAUGUCCUUCUGGGAAAGAUUCAUCGGUAUGGGAUGGGGUCGCGUCCUAUCAGCUUGAUGGCGGGGUAACGGCCCACCAUGGCUUCGACGGGUAGCCGGCCUGAGAGGGCGACCGGCCACAUUGGGACUGAGAUACGGCCCAGACUCCUACGGGAGGCAGCAGUGGGGAAUAUUGCACAAUGGGCGCAAGCCUGAUGCAGCGACGCCGCGUGCGGGAUGACGGCCUUCGGGUUGUAAACCGCUUUUGACUGGGAGCAAGCCCUUCGGGGUGAGUGUACCUUUCGAAUAAGCACCGGCUAACUACGUGCCAGCAGCCGCGGUAAUACGUAGGGUGCAAGCGUUAUCCGGAAUUAUUGGGCGUAAAGGGCUCGUAGGCGGUUCGUCGCGUCCGGUGUGAAAGUCCAUCGCUUAACGGUGGAUCCGCGCCGGGUACGGGCGGGCUUGAGUGCGGUAGGGGAGACUGGAAUUCCCGGUGUAACGGUGGAAUGUGUAGAUAUC